ACGUCAAAUAAAGCAAAAAUGUCAUAUUUAGAAAAAUUGAAAGAAUGUGAAAAUGCCUGGGGGCGAUUGUGAAAAAUUAUGCUUUUAGAAUAAGAAUAUUUAAUUUAAUACAAAAUAAAAAUACACACUGAAAAAUGUUAUUGUAAUACGAAAUAAAGCAACUUUAUACUUCUAGUUUGAAGCACUAAAAAGAGUGGGUUAUCGUCAUCACUCGGAAUGGAUAGUUUAUUAAUGUGGGACCUUUAGUUUGAGUUGCGUUAUUCUGAUUGUUCACUAAAUUGAUCGAAAAAAUAUAUAUAUACAUACGUACCGCGCACUAUGGAACUAGAGGUCGGCACUUGGGACUCGGUUUUACUGGAAAAUCUUUCGGAAGACAGCUUUAUAAAUAACAUACACCUUCGCUACAAACGGGACAGCAUAUACACAUACAUUGGGACUUCCGUUGUCGCGGUAAAUCCUUAUCACCACAUAUCAGAACGAACUUCGGAUACUAUUCGAAAUUAUGGCAGUAAAGGAAUCUUUCAGUUACCACCACAUAUUUAUGGUUUAGCUAAUUUGGCAUUUCAGUCACUUAAAGAUCAAGGCGAAGAUCAGUGCAUUGUACUGACAGGUGAAAGCGGCGCUGGCAAAACGGAGUCUUUCAAAAUGAUUGUUAACUUUCUUACGCAUAUUCAAGAUAAAAUAACUCUAGUACAACAAAUUAAAAAAGAAGUUUCGAACAGCACCGCUAGCACCAGUUGUUACACCGGUUACGCGCCUUUGCAUCGACGUACGUCUAGCAAUUGUUCUGCCACAAAUGUUCCAUUAUCCAAAAAAUCUGAUAGCGUCAUGACAAUAACAAACACCUCUCGCCGGCAAUCGUUGUCUCCCGGGCUUGGGCCACGUCGUUGCAGCACAGCAAAUAUAUCCGCACAACGCAUUCGGGCUGAAAGUUCUGACCGUAGUCAGACACGGCGGAAUAUGCGAGAGAAAAUAGUCGAUUUCGAUUUCUCUCAUCAUAAAAGCACUGAAAAUAUUUCAUAUAUUGAUAGCAAAGGAACAUUUCGCAAUAUUGAUAAACAUCCGUCAAAAUCUUGCUUUAAACACCAGCCGACACAAACGGCCCCAAUGGUCACUGCCGCGCUUAUGAAUACAAAUUUCGCAACAUCUUCUAAACACCUGCAUAACGCCCACCAAGCAGGUAUUUAUACUAGCGGCGGUUGUCGACAAUGUGGCCAUAGUAAAUGCACACGUGCUUUAGCAUUGGAAAUUGAUUCCCGAAAUUUGCCUUUUAAAAAUACCAGUACACAAAAUUUUUCAGCGGGACCAUCAAGAGCAAUGCACCGAGGUAGUUUCUGCAAUUUAUUGCGUCAACAUUCCACAGAAAGUCAAACCGACCGUUCAUCAUUGAUUGGCUCGACACAACGUAUAUCUCUAUAUGAAGCACACAAACAGAAUCAAAUGUUUGCCGCUUCUAUUUUUAAUCCAAGUAAUGCGUCGACCUGUGCACAAACUUCUUCAUCACUUUCACUCUCAGGGACAAUGAAUGUGCCUAACACAAGGUCACGUCGAAAGUCGCCCAGUCAAAGGCUGCGAGAAUGUGUCACCUGUGCGGAUGUCUUUCUCGAGGCUAUGGGAAAUGCGGUGACUUUGAAAAACAGCAACUCUAGUCGUUAUGGUAAACUAUUUGAUAUAGAAAUCGAUUUCAAAGGUGAUCCCAUGGGCGUACAUAUAACACAUUACUCGCAUUACAAAUACUAGUGCCGGGGAGCGAAAUUUUCAUAUAUUCUAUCAGUUGCUUCUGGGAGCUGACUUGCCUUUGUUAAAAUCCUUGAAGCUGUAUCGGAAUGUGGAAAAAUAUGAUAUAUUGAGAAACACAACUGCCAUUGAAGAAGAUCGCGAAAAUUUUCAUUAUACA
rnacentral:misc_RNA from 1 species